CCACAUGCUACUGAGGCUCCUAAUUGUGAAAUGAAUACAUUGUUAAAUUGACGAUAUGUCUUGUUUUUUCAAACUUCAAUCAUCCAAUCCACCAAAUGGGUCAAUAGCAGAAUAAGCUGUUUGGCAUUGGCAGAGAAGAUUUGGCAUAUUUUUCAUGGGCCCAACCCAUAUACUCAGCUCUGCUGCUCAUCUCACAAGAGCAUGUUUCUUAAAAAUGGAACACCAUUUGAAAGGGAACUGAGCAGGCUUUCCAACGGUAUAAGAGUUAUUGCCAAAAAGCAUUGUUACCACAGAGAAAUAAUCUACCAAACCCAAAUUCUGUUACUUUUUGUGCUAAGUUUAUAUCCCCUAAAGGC